AGAGUUUGAUCCUGGCUCAGGAUGAACGCUAGCUACAGGCUUAACACAUGCAAGUCGAGGGGAAACGAUAGAGAAAGCUUGCUUUUUCUAGGCGUCGACCGGCGCACGGGUGAGUAACGCGUAUCCAACCUGCCCACCACUUGGGAAUAACCUUGCGAAAGUAAGACUAAUACCCAAUGAUAUCUCUAGAAGACAUCUGAAGGAGAUUAAAGAUUUAUCGGUGAUGGAUGGGGAUGCGUCUGAUUAGCUUGUUGGCGGGGUAACGGCCCACCAAGGCGACGAUCAGUAGGGGUUCUGAGAGGAAGGUCCCCCACAUUGGAACUGAGACACGGUCCAAACUCCUACGGGAGGCAGCAGUGAGGAAUAUUGGUCAAUGGGCGAGAGCCUGAAUCAGCCAAGUAGCGUGCAGGAAGACGGCCCUAUGGGUUGUAAACUGCUUUUAUAAGGGAAUAAAGUGAGUCUCGUGAGACUUUUUGCAUGUACCUUAUGAAUAAGGACCGGCUAAUUCCGUGCCAGCAGCCGCGGUAAUACGGAAGGUCCGGGCGUUAUCCGGAUUUAUUGGGUUUAAAGGGAGCGUAGGCCGGAGAUUAAGCGUGUUGUGAAAUGUAGACGCUCAACGUCUGCACUGCAGCGCGAACUGGUUUCCUUGAGUACGCACAAAGUGGGCGGAAUUCGUGGUGUAGCGGUGAAAUGCUUAGAUAUCACGAAGAACUCCGAUUGCGAAGGCAGCUCACUGGAGCGCAACUGACGCUGAAGCUCGAAAGUGCGGGUAUCGAACAGGAUUAGAUACCCUGGUAGUCCGCACGGUAAACGAUGGAUGCCCGCUGUUGGUCUGAAUAGGUCAGCGGCCAAGCGAAAGCAUUAAGCAUCCCACCUGGGGAGUACGCCGGCAACGGUGAAACUCA
rnacentral:rRNA from 1 species